CAGCCCCUCUCCUCUCCAGGCAGCUGGGCUUUGAGCCAGCCAGCCAAGUGGCAGCUGGGACUCAGAUGAAAGGGUCCUUAGAUGGUUGUCUGUGGCCAAGUGCCCAGCCCAGCACAGCCCAGGCCUGGCAGCUCUGGGCCCAGCUGUCCCACAAGGCAGCCUGCCACUGGUCCCACACAAGGCUCCCUUUGUGGGACCCACCGCAGGGGAGACCCCUGCCAACCCACAAGGACCCUCUUCCCUUCUCUUUGCUUCCCACCGGCUUGAGAAAGAUUCAAAUCCUUAGAGAAUGGUCCAGGGUUGGGCCCAGCUGGCCUGACUCUGGGCCAGGCACCUUGGAGAGCUUUGUCCCAUUUAAUCUUCCAGAACAGCACUGGUAGCAGGUAGUGUUAUUCCCUUUUAGAGAGGAAGGACGUAGAGACCCGAGGGCCUACCAUGUGUCGAUCACAGUGCCAGGCCCUGGGAAGAGAGUAGUGAACCAGAGGACAAGAGCCAAGAGCAGGGAGUGCACUGUCAGCCAGACACGGACUGAUCAAUAACCACACACACUUACCUCAUCCUUCCUUGGUCUGCACUCUGGAUGCUGAUCUUCAGGGUUCACAUCCAUAGGCUCUCAUCCCUCUGGAUCCCAUGCGUGUUCGUCCCGCGGGAGGCCUAGCGGGACAUCAGAAGGUGCUCACAAUGGGCGAAGAGAAGGGACUGAUCCGUGGAAUUCAUGUGAAUCAUUCCUGGACAAACAGAAACUUCAGGGAGCAAACAGCUCCGCUUUGGCCACUUCCCUGGGACCAGCCACUCCCUGACCCUCUUGGGCACACAGCCUGCCAAUCCAGCCAGCAAACCAUCCACUCCCCUGUUUGCCUCCUGCGCUCAGCCCGGCCCUAUCAGCACUGCAACAAGCAUCCUUUACAUCUAAGAACUGUGCAAGGAAUAUGCACUUUUUGAGGAUCUUUGUUGCCAACUGAUUAGGGAGGCUGUGCCCACCAUCCAGGCACACACCGUGUGGUUGCCUCAGAGUAUGUUUUUGCCCCAAGUUCAGAGUCAACCCCGCAGACCCCAAAGCUAAGCAUGCGAGUGGCUUUGCAGGUAGGGCCUGACCCUCAGGUAGGUCCCCUCCGCUGCCCGUGGCUUCCUGGGAUCCAGAGCAGAAGCACUGAUUUUUUUCUGGAUUGGUUGGACAUACCAGUUAAAGAGCUCACACACCACCCCUCUCCUGCUCCACAUUCUCUUUUCUUUCCCCUGCUUCUCCUCCUUCUAGCUUUCCCUUCCUUUUCCAUCUCUCCUUCCUUUUGUUUGCUCCUUCUCCCUCCAGCCUCCACUCUGUGUCUCCCUCUGACUUGGGGCUUCUUUCUCUCCGUCUCUUUUCUCUCUGCUUCCUCUGCCUCUCUACAGUUUUCCCUCACCUUUUCAUCUUCCUCCUGGAACUCAGCCUUGUCUCUGUCUCUUUUCUCUUUCCUCUCCGUGGCUCUCUGUCCUCCACCCACCACUCCUGCUGGCUGAGUCAUAAUUUCCCCUGCGGUGGGUGGGGGGGAUAAAGCAGCCUUUUCCCUGAUAGGUCUUGAUGUGAAGGAGCAGUGAGUUUGCCUCCCACAAGGGCAAAGCUAACCGAUCCCUGAGUGGGGAGCUGCCUGGUAAACCAGUGUGACUCAGGACUUCCAGGUUGGGAGAGGGGCUGUCCAUCAGUCAAGCUUCCCUUGGACGCUUUGGCAUCAUGGGGGCCAGCAUGCUGUGUCUGAUGACUCACUGGGACAGCCUUGGCAUGGUGGCAGCGGGAUGUGGGGAGGGGUGCUGGAGUUUAUGAUGUUGCCCCUGGGAGGACACCCCCUCUCUGCCAGGCAGCCCAGGGAUGGAUGCUGGGGCCCUACAAUCAUGUUCAUCAUUGCAUGGCUUCACAUCAUAAUGGUCAGAUAGGAUAUUUAUAACAACUCAGGUUGCUGGGCCCUAAUUCAUCUUUAUUAAACCAGAAUAACUAAGGAUAGGAGUCAGGAAUCUUCAUGUUAAAGAUACUUGAUGCAAAAGCUGGUAGGUGUCUAUUAGAUUUGUAAAUGCACACACCCUAUAUUCCAGCAGCCACUCCUGGGACUUUCUUCUAACAAAAUAUUCCCGCAUGUAUUGUGCACGAGGAUUUUUUUUUUUCAGCAUUGUUUGUAUUAUCAAACAAUUGGGAACACCCUGAAUGUAAUGUCCAUUAGUCGACAAUGGUUAAAUAAAAGAUGAUGUCUCGGGGCGCCUGGGUGGCUCAGUGGGUUAAGCUGCU